UACAGAGGUGCCGAGCGUUAGGCGGAAUUACUGGGCGUAAAGAGUGUGUAGGCGGUGCUCCCAGUCUGUUGUGAAAUCUCCCGGCUUAACUGGGAGGGUGCAGCGGAAACUAGAGUGCUAGAGGGUGGGAGAGGUAAGCGGAAUUCCUGGUGUAGCGGUGAAAUGCGUAGAUAUCAGGAGGAACACCUGUGGUGUAGACAGCUUACUGGACCGCUUCUGACGCUGAGACACGAAAGCGUGGGUAGCAAACAGG
rnacentral:rRNA from 1 species